CACUCAGUGGCUUGACAUGGGAAUCUUUCACUGUCAGAGUUAAGAUGACACAUCAGCAUUUACAGCACACGAAACACUUGAGAAUUUUAUUCUAAAGUGUCAUUUAUAGAGGAUUUGGAUUUGGAUUUACCAAACUAGCAGGAUGAACCUCUCCGAAGAAUGUGAGGAAGACAUUUCUGCUUCCUUAAAACAUUUGGAUCCAACCCUACAGGAGAGAUUAGACUCUCCAGAACCCAGCUGUGUGUCCAUGAAGAGUGAUGUAUCUAUGAAUAUUUCACUACACUUCAGUGAUGGAGGGUCUACAUCUGGACACAGUCCAUUCCAGCAGGAGAGAUCAGACUCUCCAGAACCCAGCUGUGUGCCCAUGAAGAGUGAUGCAUCAAUGGUUCCACUAAUGUUCAAUGACGGAGACUCUAAAUAUGGACACAGCACUGCCUUAAUGCUCUUGGGCAUGGAAUUCACCAGAGCUUCACAGGGUGCUACUGGAAUCCUCUUCCACUCUUCCAUGAUGACAUCCUGGAGCUGGUGGAUGUUAGACACCUUGUGCUCUUCCUACUUCUGCUUGAGGAUGCCCCACAGGUGCUCAGUUUGGUUUAGGUCUAGAGACAUACUUGGCCAGUCCAUCACCUUUACCUUUUUUUGUUUGUUUACCAAGUCAAGAUUUUGUAUUUGUUGAUAUUAUUGUUGAUGAUGCUAGAGAAAAAGGAUUAACUUUGCACAUUUUUGUAUUGUAAUGUAUUUUUGUGGAUCUGAAACUUGGUUUCAUGCCAUCUGUGUUUAGCCUUCCUACGUUCUUUUUUUUAGGAGUUGAACUGCAGUAGCAUUCCUCCAAGGUGCUGUCUAUUGGAAUGACAAAGUUUUAGCAUAAACUGCUGCAAACUCAUUCAUAAGACUGACAAUGUUUGAGUUGAAGCUAUCAAAUAAAGCAUCAACAGAAUCUGAUUGUUUGCAUGGUGCAUUUUAUAAAUAAAAGUGUAGCUGUGUUGUAAUUUAUAAACCUUUUCUUAAAGCAAAUGUGUCUGGUCUUAGGAUUUAGUGACAUCCUCAUUUCAAAGAAAACACAGUAAUGGUCUAACAAAUUGACAUCCAAUCCAACAGUGGCUGAUAUGUUAUUACCCUUUGAGAUAACCACACCCAGUGUGACCAUGAUAGUGAUGCUGAGAGAGUCCAAAAGAGUGCAAUAUAAAGAGUUCUUUGGCAUAAAUAUGAUUGGGAUUUUCAAUAUGUAUGUUAAAAUCACCAGCAAUAACAAAAUGUUUGCACUGAAAAGAAUCAUAAAACAGAGCAGUUAUGCCUCCACCUUUCUUGAUUGCACAAGACAUUUAUAAAGUUUGGUUGAGCCUUUUUAAAUAAUAUGGUUUCAGCACUACUUUUAACUAACCUUGUUUCUUUUACAAGCAGAAAAUCAAGCCCAUUGGCUAUAAUACUAUAAUGAAUCAAAUAAGGCUUGUUUGUGGGAGAUCUUAUAUUUAGAAGAGCUAAUUUAGUAACCUGUGCACUUUGCUCCUGAUGGUGUGACUCACAUUUUACUAAAAAUUGGAUUUAUUCACAUUGAAUGUACCUUUUGUUCUUUUAAUUUCUGAUAAAUCCUGGAAUGGGAGAGAUUUUCGGCACACAGGGUCUGAUCUCAUUUUGAAAAGUUUGUUUUGUAAAAACAAACUAAUUUGUUUUUUAUUAGCAUAAAGAAGAUCAUGAAAAUCAAAAUGCUCCUCAUAAUGCUUUACUUUUGCCAUCUCACCGAUCUGAUGCUACAUCUAAUGAAACUGAACCUGAACCUCAGAAGGACUUGAAAUUAAAUUUGAAAAAGAAGCUUAAGUUUUUAAAUGAAGUGAUAAACCAGGGAAACCCAACACUUCUCAGGGAAAUCUACACAGAUCUCCACAUCACAGAGGGAGCAGAGGUCAGUAAUGAACAUGAAUUCAGACAGAUAGAGGCAGCAUCCAGGAGAACAGCAAGAGAGGAGACACCAAUCAAAUGCACAGACAUAUAUAAGCCCUUACCAGAACAAGACAAACCCAUCAGAACUGUGCUGACAAAGGGAGUUGCUGGCAUUGGAAAAACAGUCUCUGUGCAGAAGUUCAUUCUGGACUGGGCUGAAGACAAAGCAAACCAGGAUGUCCAGUUCAUAUUUCCACUUC
ensembl:lncRNA